UAAGGAAUAUUGGUCAAUGGACGCAAGUCUGAACCAGCCAUGCCGCGUGGAGGAUUAAGGCCCUCUGGGUUGUAAACUCCUUUUAUCUGGGAAGAAAUGUACUUUUUCUUGAGUACUUGACGGUACCAGAGGAAUAAGCACCGGCUAACUCCGUGCCAGCAGCCGCGGUAAUACGGAGGGUGCAGGCGUUAUCCGGAUUCACUGGGUUUAAAGGGUGCGUAGGUGGGCAGGUAAGUCAGUGGUGAAAUCUCCGGGCUUAACCCGGAAACUGCCGUUGAUACUAUUUGUCUUGAAUAUUGUGGAGGUAAGCGGAAUAUGUCAUGUAGCGGUGAAAUGCUUAGAUAUGACAUAGAACACCAAUUGCGAAGGCAGCUUACUACACAAUCAUUGACGCUGAGGCACGAAAGCGUGGGGAUCAAACA
rnacentral:rRNA from 1 species